UCUGCCUGGCAUUGAGACGACAGAAGCACGAAGCCAAAAUAUCCUUAUGUGGGCAUAGCUGCCUCUUCAUGGCAGAGCCAAUUUGGAUCCCAUCCAUUGGCAGGGAUGUCCCAGAAGCAGCCAAUUUUAGUUCAGCCUCUUUAAAACUCUGGAUUGUAAACAAACAGUAGGAGUUUCUUUCCACAGUGGAAGGGAGAAUAAUGAGAAGAAGGAUGCAGAAGAGAGGGGAAAGUUGAAAGUAGCUGAUAUGGGACCACAGAAUAUUGGCCAAUCAGCCACUUAUAUUUCCCUAUCACAUUCAGAGCCCAUCAAGUUAAAUGCCAACCAGGGCGAGGCUGGUCAUUUGAUGAAUGAAGCUUGCCAAGGAGAAGAAAGAAGAUGAACAGCAGAAGCCCUACGUAAAAAGGGCAGCAACCCUAUUCCAGCCAAGUGUUGCCUCAAUAGAUGGGGAAAAGCCACUAGUGUGGCUUUUUUUUUGAGAAGCAUGAACUCUGAAUCUUUUCUUAAAAUCACCUAUGCCAAAUGAUGCCAAUGAAUUCAUUUUCAAAAACACAAAAAGACCUGUUGAUUUACAAAAUAAAAUACAAAC